rnacentral:tRNA from 1 species
GCCGAAAUAGCUCAGUUGGGAGAGCGUAGACUGAAGAUCUAAACUCCCCGGUCAAUCCCGGGUUUCGGCA